rnacentral:misc_RNA from 1 species
UCGCGAUGGGCACGCCAAUUUCGUGGUACGCCCCUGGCUCCCGUCGUUGGGGCAGAGAGACACACGACGACGAUCAACCAAAGGAACGAGAGAAGGUACCGGGUGUGCGUGAGGGCAGUGAUCUCUCAGGGAGCGGCGACCUAACAUACGAACGAACGGUGUUCGAUAGAUAUAGGAUAUAUACAUCGUCACGUUCUUUUCUCCGUUGUUUCCUAUGUCGUUGGAUUUUCUACGGUUAGAGAUGUCUACGCACGGGUCCAUGGGAUGCGGCGACGUUCCUGUUCUCACUGGACUACCGAGCAUACGGGGCGGGGCCGUUGCAGUGCAUCGAAAGAGAAAUUUUUCCGGCGGUUGUUGGCCCAGCCCCACGACGAACGGAUACUAGGGUGUUUCCCACAUGAAUGGCAGAGCAGUGGAGGCACAUUGCAAGCAAGCUGCAGCGCUGCAGUAGGCCUGUGGGCCAAGGUUCUCUCUCUCUCCCUUUUCUUCCUCUCUUCCGUACUCCUUUCUACUUGCUUUUUGUCUUGGAUAUUCUCUUUAUCUCGACUACUUUUACAGAUGAAAAACUGCUUGCAACCAGCAACGAAUCAACAAUCACGACUAGGUAUUUCAUUAUUAUUUUUGGGAUAUUUUAUUGAACUUUCCCAUAACGUUAUUUUGUUAUUUUUGUGUCUUCGACGUUCAAGUUGCAGUUGCAUUAAAAUAUCAAUAUAUUUUUUAUUGUAGGAAGUUGCAGAAACUUUAAAAUGAGAAGUCACCCAAUCAGCUGAAAUGGCAGUUAGCCAAACCGCCUCAUAUUCCAGUUUUGUUUAAUUGUUUAGCACGAUACGUUUUAUUUCCCGGAUGCAGAUGCACUCGGGGUCCCCUCCAUUCAGCCACUCUUCUAAGAUCUCCCGAAGUUAACAGGCGUGACCCUUUCCCUUCUGGAGUUUUUCAUGCGGACCCACCUGGUCUUUCAUUGGCCAGGGGCUAAAUGAGAAUUUUUCCGAUAUGGCCUGUUGGGCCGGCCCUCUAUUUAUACGUUUCCCCAUCGAUGGUAGCCACGUUGUACUGCCGCUUUUAUCGUUGCAACUUUUCUGUAUCAAACAAAUUUGUUUCCAUUAUUAUUAAUUCUGCAACCUUUCAUCCUCUUUAUAUUUCGAGUAUAUUAUAUUUUAAAAUUUGUAGAUAUGUAAAGCGUUACUCGAUGGAAAAUGCACUGUUAC